UUGCACGCUGGCGGCAGGCUUCACACAUGCCAGUCGAGCGGUAGCACAAGAGAGCUUGCUCUCUGGGUGACGAGCGGCGGACGGGUGAGUAAUGUCUGGGAAACUGCCUGAUGGAGGGGGAUAACUACUGGAAACGGUAGCUAAUACCGCAUAACGUCGCAAGACCAAAGAGGGGGACCUUCGGGCCUCUUGCCAUCAGAUGUGCCCAGAUGGGAUUAGCUAGUAGGUGGGGUAAUGGCUCACCUAGGCGACGAUCCCUAGCUGGUCUGAGAGGAUGACCAGCCACACUGGAACUGAGACACGGUCCAGACUCCUACGGGAGGCAGCAGUGGGGAAUAUUGCACAAUGGGCGCAAGCCUGAUGCAGCCAUGCCGCGUGUGUGAAGAAGGCCUUCGGGUUGUAAAGCACUUUCAGCGAGGAGGAAGGUGGUGAACUUAAUACGUUCAUCAAUUGACGUUACUCGCAGAAGAAGCACCGGCUAACUCCGUG
rnacentral:rRNA from 1 species